CACCUGAACUUUGUGUUUCCAAAUUCUUUUGGCCUAUGCCUAAGUUCCCUCCUUUUAAGGGAUUUGAUCAUCCUUUCCCUUUACCUCCACCUUUGGAGCUUCCACCGUUUCCUAAACCAUGCCCACCACCUCCGGUUCCGGUGUACGAGCCACCCCCAAAGGUGGAACUUCCACCACCUGUCCCGGUUCACGAGCCACCCCCAAAGGUAGAGGUUCCACCACCCGUCCCGGUUCACGACCCACCGCCAAAGGUGGAGCACCCACCUCCGGUUCCGGUUUACAAGCCACCUCCAAAGGUAGAGCACCCACCUCCAGUUCCGGUUUACAAGCCGCCUCCAAAGGUAGAGCACCCACCUCCGGUUCCGGUUUACAAGCCACCUCCAAAGGUAGAGCACCCACCUCCGGUUCCAGUACACAAGCCACCAACAAUCCCUAAGAAGCCAUGCCCGCCUAAGUCGCCGAAGAUUGAGCUUCCACCGCCAGUGCCAGUUCACAAACCACCGA
rnacentral:lncRNA from 1 species